UGAUAAAUGCCGUGUGUGCUUGGACCAGUA
rnacentral:piRNA from 1 species